rnacentral:lncRNA from 1 species
CACAGUUCAACAUUCCACUGAUGUGCAGCCCUUCCUGAGAAUCACUGCUUCCCGUUGAUUGCUCAGCACCACGAGGCGGUUUCUUGAAAGAAUGAAUUGCUCUUAGUGUACAUAGGUUCUGUGAAUUUAGACAUACACAUUUAACUCCCUUGGAACAAGCAUCAGGACAAGAGUCUUUAUGUACUCUACGUGGCCAGAGCACACUGUCUCAGUUAUUUGUGGUAUCUCAGGAGAUCUCUGUUGUACUCGCUGGAACAAAGUGUGGAAAGGAGGCAAAAAGCCAAGUGGCAGGAUAUCUGCUGAGAAAGCUGAGAAGAUGAGUGUCUCGCAGGAGAAAAUGGAAGACAGCAGAUCUCACAUGACAUCCAAAGAAUACAAGCUACAAAAGGAUCAGCAUCUCAUAAAGAAUUUUAAGACAUUACAAGACAUUGCAAGGUAAAGAUCUUUUUUUCCCCCCCUAUCUUUAUUACCAUAUUCAUCAACUGAAAAGCUGGUUUCUAGUAUAAUUUCAGGAAUGAACAUAUUGAUCAUGAAGAUUAUGGCAAUUCUUAAAUUAUUUCCAGGAUCAGUAAAGAAAGCCAGUCAAAUUUUCCUAGAAAUUUUUCCUUCAAAAUAUUUAUCUUUAGUGUCGUGAUUAAGUGUCUAAUAUGUCAUAUAUCUGCCAAUUUUGGGUGCUACUUUUAAUUAGGGUUCUGAUGUUUCUGAUGCUCUCUAAAACCAUUAUAUUUACCUUGUACGUGAUUACAAACAAGAUUGUGGGAGCCUUCAGACUCCUGCUCUUGAGACACCAAAAAGCAAAGUCACAUAUGGCAGGAAGCUUUCAGUGAAGUUUACUUUGAAAAUAAAUGCGUGGCAAUAGCAUGAGAAAGUGUGAAG